rfam:Ictidomys tridecemlineatus contig001134, whole genome shotgun sequence.
GGGAAUAUAGCUCAGUUGGUAGAGUGCUUGCCUUGCAUGCACAAAGCCCUGGGUUCAAUUCCCAGUAUCACCU